rnacentral:rRNA from 1 species
AUACGUAGGUGGCGAGCGUUGUCCGGAAUUAUUGGGUGUAAAGAGCAUGUAGGCGGCUUAAUAAGUCGAGCGUGAAAAUGCGGGGCUCAACCCCGUAUGGCGCUGGAAACUGUUAGGCUUGAGUGCAGGAGAGGAAAGGGGAAUUCCCAGUGUAGCGGUGAAAUGCGUAGAUAUUGGGAGGAACACCAGUGGCGAAGGCGCCUUUCUGGACUGUGUCUGACGCUGAGAUGCGAAAGCCAGGGUAGGGAACGGGAUUAGAUACCCCGGUAGUCCUGGCCGUAAAUGAUGGGUACUAGGUGUAGGAGGUAUCGACCCCUUCUGUGCCGGAGUUAACGCAAUAAGUACCCCGCCUGGGGAGUACGGCCGCAAGGUUGAAACUUAAAGGAAUUGACGGGG